GCUUGUCUCAAAGAUUAAGCCAUGCAUGUCUAAGUAUAAAUCUUUUACUUUGAAACUGCGAACGGCUCAUUAUAUCAGUUAUAGUUUAUUUGAUAGUCCCUUACUACUUGGAUAACCGUAGUAAUUCUAGAGCUAAUACAUGCGUCAAUACCCUUCUGGGGUAGUAUUUAUUAGAUAACAGACCAAUAUUCCUCGUGUCUAUUGUGGUGAAUCAUAGUAACUGAUCGGAUCGCAUGGGCUACGCCCGCGACAAACCAUUCAAGUUUCUGCCCCAUCAGCUUUCGAUGGUAGUGUAUUGGACUACCAUGGCUUUUACGGGUAACGGAGGAUUAGGGUUCGAUUCCGGAGAGGGAGCCUGAGAAACGGCUACCACAUCUAAGGAAGGCAGCAGG
rnacentral:rRNA from 1 species